CCUACGGGUGGCAGCAGUGGGGAAUUUUGCGCAAUGCUCGUAAGCCUGACGCAGCGACGCCGCGUGAGGGAUGAAGGUCUUCGGAUCGUAAACCUCUGUCAACAGGGAAGAACGGUCACUGUGCUAAUCAGCAGUGAAUUGACGGUACCUGCAAAGGAAGCACCGGCUAACUCCGUGCCCGCAGCCGCGGUAAUACGGAGGGUGCGAGCGUUAAUCGGAAUUACUGGGCGUAAAGCGCUCGUAGGUGGUAUGUCAAGUCAAGGGGGAAAUCCCCGGGCUCAACGUGGGAACUGCCUUUGAAACUGGCAAACUGGAGUGUGUGAGAGGAUAGUGGAAUUCCAGGUGUAGGAGUGAAAUCCGUAGAUAUCUGGAGGAACAUCAGUGGCGAAGGCGACUAUCUGGCACAUAACUGACGCUGAGGAGCGAAAGCGUGGGUAGCAAACAGGAUUAGAUACCCCUGUAGUC
rnacentral:rRNA from 1 species